UUGGCCAUGGGCAGUCUCAAUUUGUCAGCGGAUCGCAGAUAACUUGAAUUAUUUGCAUCUGUAUAUCAAUACACGCACACACACAAAGACACACCGUACGUAUGUGUAAUAUUUAAACCUGGAAUCACCAACGUUGCAGUCACUAUCACAGCACUAUCACUUCAGCAAAGCUUGGCAAAAAAAUGGCAAAUCCUUGACUGCAUUGAAAAAAGCAAAACCAAUGCGCAUUGUGGGUGUCAAUCAAGCCGACUGCUGUAUGAGCUACACUGCAAAAAAGUGCAGCCAAAGAUAAGUUGAACCAGCUCAAUGCAAAAUGCAUGGACUCUAGCAAGCGCAAUAUCAAAUCAGCAUGGCCAGCCAAAGAGCGAGAGCGAGCGUCAGCGCUUUGCGCUCUUUGCAGCAGCAGCGCUCUUAUCAUAUUCGCACACUCUCUCUCUCUCUCUUUUGCGCGCGCUCUCUUUGCGUGCGCAUAAGUGGAGCAACUUUGUUGCAGUGCAUUGACGUCUCACACGAUCUUCAGUUUGGGAUGGGAUUCUGUGCUCAGAUUUUGCGACUGCUUCAGUUGCUGGCGUUUUAUUUGGGUCGCAGCUUAAACUGACAGCAGAACAGCAAAAGAAUAUUAAUUACAAUUUAAUAUAAAUACUAAUUACUAUAAUUAUUGCAGCAAUGGAAAAAUACAAGCACAUAACUUACGCAUGCAGCGGCAAAAAGUGAAAGAAAAAAAACUUGUUUAGCAUUUGCAAGUCGCCACGUGUUGCAAGUCCAAAGGCAAACAUAAAUAAAAUAUAUAUGCAUAUGGUGGCUUCAAAUUUUAUUUGCAAAUUUAAACAUUUAAACAAAUCGACGUUUAACAAAUCAAACUGUCACCUCAAAGCCCCACAGUUAGUUUUGAAGCUGCCACCAAGUGGCGCGUCGCAGUAAUUUGAGCUGCUAAACCGCAAAAGUUGCUGCUGCUGCUGCUGCCAACCACGAAGCAUAACAAAUUGUUACAAUUGUUUGUUAUAGUUUAAUACGCAUUUGUUUAUUGUAUGUUAAUAUAUGCAGCAGCUGAGUAUGAUGCGUUUUUAAUAACCGAAUAAAAGUUUGCAGGGCAUUUGCAAGUUGCGCUUCUCAUACUCUGAGCUACUCAGCUACUUGGCUUUAAUUGCUGUUUUAGUUAGUUAGUUUCUCACUUGAGCUGCGCCACAU